AUCCAAAUGCAACCCAAGUUGAUUGAGAUUUACUUCCAUCAAAUUCUCAAAUUCCAGAAAUGCAGCUUACUAUAUUAUGACAGAUCCUUCAACGAAUUAUAGUUUAUCAAACCAUGCAUCUCUUCUCAUCCGUUUUCUCCACAUUUUUUUUGAGAAAACGUUUUCUCCACAUUUUCUACUUCUCUAACCUUGUAUCACUGGCAUCUUCUUCCGAUCUUCCAUUAGAAAUUAAUCUGUUUCCAUGCUACCAUCCAUAAAUCGAAAAUGACGCCACAGUCGUAGUUAAGAGACUACGACUU
rnacentral:lncRNA from 1 species